GACGAACGCUGGCGGCGUGCUUAACACAUGCAAGUCGAACGGAAAGGCCCUGCUUUUGUGGGGUGCUCGAGUGGCGAACGGGUGAGUAACACGUGAGUAACCUGCCCUUGACUUUGGGAUAACUUCAGGAAACUGGGGCUAAUACCGUAUAGGAGCUCCUGCUGCAUGGUGGGGGUUGGAAAGUUUCGGCGGUUGGGGAUGGACUCGCGGCUUAUCAGCUUGUUGGUGGGGUAGUGGCUUACCAAGGCUUUGACGGGUAGCCGGCCUGAGAGGGUGACCGGCCACAUUGGGACUGAGAUACGGCCCAGACUCCUACGGGAGGCAGCAGUGGGGAAUAUUGCACAAUGGGCGGAAGCCUGAUGCAGCAACGCCGCGUGCGGGAUGACGGCCUUCGGGUUGUAAACCGCUUUCGCCUGUGACGAAGCGUGAGUGACGGUAAUGGGUAAAGAAGCACCGGCUAACUACGUG
rnacentral:rRNA from 1 species